ACACCGGCCCUUUUCAGGGCCCCCACGUUAUAUUUAAGGUUAUC
rfam:Octopus bimaculoides Scaffold42101_contig_2, whole genome shotgun sequence.